AUAAUCGAUGGAAUUCGGUGCGCCAUCCACUCUUAUAUCGGGGCUCUAUCUUAUGCUUCAAGUUUGAGAAACUGUCGAAUGGCAGCUGAGCGAUUUUCUGCCGUUGUUUUGAAGAAAAACAAUUGCAAAUGGUUCGUUAUUAAAUCCAAUGUCAGCAGAAUAAAAGGAUUAGAGAAGACUGCGUGAUGGAAAUUCUAGAAAACGCUGAUUAAAAAAGUAAACUGAGGAAGUUUGACAGUUUCAUUUUACAAUAUGGUUUUAAAAUAGAUUUUGUUUCUAUAUAUGGAGAAAUUAUACGAAGGAAAUGAACGUAUGUUCAUCUGUAAGUAUCAACGAAAAAAUUCAAGGAAAAAGAAAACUGACAACUGUAGUAAUUAAUCCAGUAUUAACGAAAUUAAAGAAUUUAGAGAAACGAUUAUAAAAAAUAAUAUAGGGUGAAAAAGUUCCUUUUCCUUGUUUCUCGAUGUAGUUUAUUAUUUUUUAUUAAAAUAUACAGUAUGUAGGUUAAACAGUUGAUCACACAUUUUCAUUUUGUGUUCGCCACUGCAAACCCAUUCAAUUUGUUGCUUUACUUUUUACCUAUAUAACACACUUCUCUCUCGCUUCUGUUUCUCGUAGCUAUCGCUCUACUUAUAAUUACCAUUAUCUUUAUAUACGAUCAAUUCGCGCGGUUAAACUAAGCUUU